GACGAACGCUGGCGGCGUGCUUAACACAUGCAAGUCGAACGGAAAGGCCCUGCUUUUGUGGGGUGCUCGAGUGGCGAACGGGUGAGUAACACGUGAGUAACCUGCCCUUGACUUUGGGAUAACUUCAGGAAACUGGGGCUAAUACCGGAUAGGAGCUCCUGCUGCAUGGUGGGGGUUGGAAAGUUUCGGCGGUUGGGGAUGGACUCGCGGCUUAUCAGCUUGUUGGUGGGGUAGUGGCUUACCAAGGCUUUGACGGGUAGCCGGCCUGAGAUGGUGACCGGCCACAUUGGGACUGAGAUACGGCCCAGACUCCUACGGGAGGCAGCAGUGGGGAAUAUUGCACAAUGGGCGGAAGCCUGAUGCAGCAACGCCGCGUGCGGGAUGACGGCCUUCGGGUUGUAAACCGCUUUCGCCUGUGACGAAGCGUGAGUGACGGUAAUGGGGAAAGAAGCACCGGCUAACUACGU
rnacentral:rRNA from 1 species